CACGUAGGGCGCAAGCGUUGUCCGGAAUUAUUGGGCGUAAAGAGCUCGUAGGCGGUCUGUUGCGUCCGCUGUGAAAUCUCGGGGCUUAACCCCGAGCCUGCAGUGGAUACGGGCAGACUAGAGGUAGGUAGGGGAGAAUGGAAUUCCCGGUGUAGCGGUGAAAUGCGCAGAUAUCGGGAGGAACACCGGUGGCGAAGGCGGUUCUCUGGGCCUUACCUGACGCUGAGGCACGAAAGCCAGGGGAGCGAACGGG
rnacentral:rRNA from 1 species